GACGAACGCUGGCGGCGUGCUUAACACAUGCAAGUCGAGCGGUAAGGCCCUUUCGGGGGUACACGAGCGGCGAACGGGUGAGUAACACGUGGGUGACCUGCCUUUAGCUCUGGGAUAAGCCUGGGAAACUGGGUCUAAUACCGGAUAUGACUCCGCGGUGCAUGCUGUGGGGUGGAAAGCCUUGUGCGGCUGGAGAUGGGCCCGCGGCCUAUCAGCUUGUUGGUGGGGUGAUGGCCUACCAAGGCGACGACGGGUAGCCGGCCUGAGAGGGCGACCGGCCACACUGGGACUGAGACGCGGCCCAGACUCCUACGGGAGGCAGCAGUGGGGAAUCUUGCGCAAUGGGCGAAAGCCUGACGCAGCGACGCCG
rnacentral:rRNA from 1 species